GAUCAUGGGCUCAGGACGAACGCUGGCGGCGUGCUUAACACAUGCAAGUCGAACGAGAAUCUACGGAUCGAGGAUUCGUCCAAGUGAAGUAGAGGACAGUGGCGGACGGGUGAGUAACGCGUGAGGAACCUGCCUUUCAGAGGGGGACAACAGUUGGAAACGACUGCUAAUACCGCAUGACACAUUGGGGUCGCAUGGCCCUGAUGUCAAAGAUUUAUCGCUGAAAGAUGG
rnacentral:rRNA from 1 species